GCACGGGUGAGUAACACGUGACUAACCUACCCUGGAGUGGGGGAUAACUGAGGGAAACCUUAGCUAAUACCGCAUAAUACCUAUGGGUCAAAGGAGCAAUUCGCUUUGGGAGGGGGUCGCGGCCGAUUAGUUAGUUGGCGGGGUAAUGGCCCACCAAGACUGUGAUCGGUAUCCGGCCUGAGAGGGCGCACGGACACACUGGAACUGAAACACGGUCCAGACUCCUACGGGAGGCAGCAGUGGGGAAUUUUGCGCAAUGGGGGAAACCCUGACGCAGCAACGCCGCGUGGAGGAUGAAGUCCUUCGGGGCGUAAACUCCUUUCGAUCGGGACGAUAAUGACGGUACCGGAAGAAGAAGCCCCGGCUAACUUCGUGCCAGCAGCCGCGGUAAUACGAGGGGGGCGAGCGUUGUUCGGAAUUAUUGGGCGUAAAGGGUGCGUAGGCGGUUUUGUAAGUCUUAUGUGAAAUCUAUGGGCUCAACUCAUAGACUGCAUGAGAAACUGCAGGGCUUGAGUGUGGGAGAGGUGAGUGGAAUUUCCGGUGUAGCGGUGAAAUGCGUAGAUAUCGGAAGGAACACCUGUG
rnacentral:rRNA from 1 species